AAUUUUCUAAAACGACUUUAAUUUUGCACAAUUUUACACUAUUACAACAUUAACGAACGAAUAAUUAGUGGUAUGCAAAUUUUGGAUUCACCAAAAUUUUAAGAAAAACAGUUUUACUAGAUGGUAUCUGCAUACUGGGUGAUGGGUAAUAAAAAGUUCAAAAUUACCAUAAGGAAAGGCGUGUACUACCGUGUGAAAGUAGUGCUCUAGUUUCUAAUGUCACAGAUCCUAACCUUACAAAUUUAGUCGGCAGCAGCUGGAUGUGCAUGUGCCGUGUCAGUUCGGAUCCUGUGUAAUUUUUCUAAAAAUUGCACCAGAUAGUGCAACAUUCCGUACAUUGGGAGCGAACAAGAGUUCAAAGUUUACCAUAAAGUGUGUGAGUUAACCGAAACUUUCGCUAUGGACACUUCCAUGACCGCAAAAGACGUCCGAAACGCCUACAUCAA